AGGACAGUCUUUCCAUACAUUUUGACAAACUGUAUUUGCAUUUCAUUUGGUUCAAAAUAUUUUGCAAUUUUCUCUUGAGACCUUUUUUGACCCAUGUUUUAUUUAGAAGUGUAUUGUUCAAUCUACAAGUAUUUGGGGAUUUUCCUACUAUAUUUUUUGUUGUGAUAUCUAGUUUAAUUGCAUAAUCAAUUUCCUGACUUUGCCCACGUCUCCGUUCAGCUUUUUGAAUAUCUCAAGAUAGUGUGUAGUAAAUCUGCCAUAUUGUAUUCCUUGGGGAUGGUUUUUGUCGUUAUUUUUUUAGACAUACUUUCUUGUUUCUUUUUAUGCCUUGUACUUUUUUUGUUGAAUACUGGACAUUUGAAUCUUAUAAUGUGGUAUCUAUGGAAAUCUGAUUCUUUCUCUUCCUCAGUGUUUGCUGUUUUGUGCGUGUUUGUGUGUGUGUGUGUGUGUUUUAAUUGUUAUAGGGUGUUUCUGUGCUGGAAUCACUCUGUGGUAUAAGCUUAAGGUUUUCUCAGGUCUUUUCUGAGGCUGUGUCUUUCUCUGGGAAUGUGCACUCACUUUCUAAAUUCUCCCAUACAUACGAUUAAUUUUGAAUAUCCUUAUCUUUAAAUAUCUGGCUCCCCCAAAAAGGGAAAGGAAAAAAUGAAAGAGAGGGAAAAAAAAAGAUGCUUUCCCUUUAAAUACCCUGGAAGCCACUCAGCUGGUGGGGUUUGUAACAAUAGUGGCCUGCCUUUAUGUCUGCACCUCCAUUACAGAAAGCAGUAAUCCACAAUCAGAACACAGAUCCUCAGCAUUUAGAGCGCAAGGUUCUUAUUGCCCAUUGUAGCUCCCACAAGCUGAUCUAGGAAUGCUGGUAAUGGCUGCCUGCCAUGGGGGUCAUGUUGGAGGAUGAACUCCUUAGUAAACUCUCCCACAGUUGUCUGACUAGUAUGAGUAUGGACAGCCAGUAACGAGUGAAUACACAUAAAUGGUACAGAACAGGAAGACUGGAAGCAAAAAUAUCAUCUAUUAAUUGUGGUCAUUUUUAAAUAGUAGGAUAUCAGUAUUUUCAAAACUUCUAUAACUGAUUGUAUUUAUGACAAAAUGUUAGUGAAUGAAUAUAAUAGAAUAUUUUGUCUGGAAUUAAAUCCAGCCCCCCAAUAAAAGUUUGGUUUUCAUCACUUGCAAAAUUCUAUACAACAGAUGAUAAAUGUGGUAAUAGCAUAUGUGAUCCAUGGAGGCUGAAAUGGUUUUUGGAAGAUGUUAAAAAUGUAGCAGUAAUUUAACUGGACUUCAAAAUGGGCAGGAUGAGUGAUGAGACUCUGUCAUGAGUGAUAGCAUAUAGUUUAGUACCGUUUGUAAAUUGAAUAUUUCACAAUGAUAUAGGUUGCCUUCCGCUGAAAAGCCAAGGGCUGUGUCUUUCCUGUCUCUCUGCUCCUCUCCUUUGCCUUCCUUUUUCCACCAGGCAGGUGGCCCUGCGGCAGCUCUAUCCAUGCUUGUUUACCAACCACAUCCAUGCAGCCUGUCUCCUUGCCCAAGUCAGCCAAACCUCCCUGAAGACCUAUUGGAGGAGCUCCCUCAUGACAGAGCAGAGGAAGAAACCCUAUCUAACACCAAGGUGGCCUCAAGAACCAGUGAAAAGGCUCCCCCCGAGGGCCUGGUGGAGGAGCUGCCCAGGGACAGGGCAGAGGAAGAGAGUCCAUUUAAUGCCAAGGUAAGCUCACCCUUCUUCGUCUGAGAUAGAAGUGCUGCUUUCUUGGUUUCUUUCUUUUUUAAUUCGGUUGAAUUCACGUAUGAAAAUCUGAGCAUGUGCAUUAUAGGUGGGAGUUACAGUUACCUCGUCGGGGAGCAUUGAGUCUCUCCCCAAUGACCCCUGAUUUAAGAAGCCAUUCACAAAUGCAGCAUCAGCUUAUAGAUCACGCAGGGACCUUUCCUCAUCAGAAAUGUUUCCUCAGGGGACUUCCCUGGUGGUCCAGUGGUUAAGAAUCUGCCUUCCAAAGCAGGGGACACAGGUUCGAUCCCUGGUCCCCUGGUCAGGGAGCUAAGAUCCCACAUGCCGUGGGGCAACUAAGCCUGUGUGCCACAACUACUGAGCUUGCAUGCCUCAACUAGAAGAGCCUGCGUGCCACAGUGAAAAAUCCCUCAUGCCUCAGCGGAGAUCCUGGGUGCCUCAACUAAGACCCGACACAGCCAAAAAAAGAAAAAAAAAGGUGUUUCCUCAGUGGAUUAAGAAUUUUGCAAGGGGCAACCAAUAUGCACUUGAAAGAUUCAUGGUGCAGGAAAAGCUUGUGCCUUUUUCACCAGUGUCUCCUAUACUAUCUUUUGGGACAUUUGACUGGACAGUUUCCCAUCUGUUUUUCUAAAGUCACCAAUUGGAUAAAAGAUCCAUGUCAACAACACACAGCGUGAUCUGAUACUCAUAGUGUUUUCUUUUCUGUAAUUGCAGGUGGCCUCAGGGGUAACUGAAAAUGGUUGGUACUCUGGAAUCAAUCAUUUGCUUGGGGAAAAAAGGCUGAUGAUAAGGAAGGUGGGCUUUGUUUUCUGGCUUUCAUCUGGAGAGCCACCCUGAUUCUGAAUUCCUGCUGGGAACAAGGGCUGAGGAUGUGAUGAAAGAAGCUGAUUUCCCAGGCAAAGAACCAUGGCUGUUUUUCAAGAAGCAGUUUCAUUGCCUUUAAGUGGUGACAGAUUGUGUGCAUAGCAGUGGGCUGUUGUCUGUGUGAUCUGGGUGGUAUGAUUCUGAGUGUGCAUGUGCACAUGUGUGUGUCUGUGUGUGUGUUUCCCUAGGUUGCCUCCAGCAAGGCAACUGCCAGUGUCAGCUUCUAAAUGAAAAAUCCCAUCACUACUGUUUCAUGUGAUUAUAUGUGUUUCAAAAUGUAUCAAAUUGUACACUUAAAAUGUGUGCAGUUCUUGUAUGGCAGGAAUACCUCAGUAAGCUCAGGGGAAAAAUCCCAUCACCAGCUAGGCAAAUGUUCAUAGGGUUCCAAGUGGACAAAAGUGUGUUUCAGAAUCACUGUGAUUGAGUCAAUAACAACUUCUAUUAAUAAUUCUCACCUCCAUCCAGCCCUUUAUAGUCCCUUCAGGCAGUUUGAUUGGUGGUGAAUGAAAAGCAGCCAUCAUUGUCCUUAUUUCACAUAAGAGAAAACAGAGGCUGGAGAAGGUGGAUGAAUUAUGGGGUGUCGCACAGCCUAUGGGUGGGGAACUGGGUGAGGCAGUCUAGAGCCUUCGAUCCAGAGCCUCUGCACUUUCUCCCACACGUCUACUGCCUGGGAGAGACUGAACUUCUCCUUUGAGUUUGGCAUCAAUUAUGAUUUUAAUCCUUGUUCCUAAGCCUCUUUGUGUGGGAUGCUCGCAGGACCUGAGAUGCAGUAACCCCAGCCCUUGAUCGCUCAGAUACUUUAGUAUUAAAUGGGUAUUUCUCCCAAUGAUGCUUCAUUCCUGCUCCUUCCCUUCUUCCCCCAAACCUUUAGAUUACAGGUGGUCUCAGCAUUAAACCUCCCCCACCUCGGCUAGGGUGCUGGGGCAGGGUUCCUUCCUUUUUCAGGAGCCCUGGGGGGAACCCACAUGUCACUCCUGGUUCUGAAGGAAUCUGAGAAAGGAGGAGCCUCCAGGAAGAGAUUCACCCCAACUUUCACCAACUAAGAUCUCAUAUUUUGCUUCAGAAAAUUUUGCCGAGAGUAGCAAGUGCCAUUGUCGUGUGGAAAAUCAGAGCCAUCAUUAAUGCCAGGCCUAGUUUCUGUGUGCUAGGCAUGAAACACUGGACAGAGAUCUCCUUCAGGGACAGAGCAUCAGGAGCUCCCUUCCUGGGAGGAUGAAGGGGAGGUUAUGCGUUGUGAAGUGGGGAAAGGGGAACUCAACAGUGGGACAGGAAUUUUUCAGUUAAACCUGCCAAAAGAAAUAGGGUCUGGGUUUCUUCUGAAGCCUUAACAAGUAACAAGUCAAAGAAGUUGUUUCAAGUCAAUAUAAAAUGAGACAAAGUAGGGUUUGGGUUUCCUUUUGGAUCAUGAAUCUUGUGUGGAAUAGAUUGUAUUUUAAUAGAAUCUGAUAGUCCUGUAGACGUCAAUAUUUUUCCCUACAAAACAAAAAGAUGAAACUGCUAGACUGAAAAAUGUCACUGGUCGGAUCAGCGGUGGGAAGGCUAGUGAACUACUCUGCAAGGAACAAGCAGGGGACAGGCGGUCGCAUCUUCCCCCUCUUUGGAUUCUAGAGCUGCACUGGCCAGUGUGGUAGCCACCAGCCAGAUGCACCUGUUCAUACUUAAAUUAAUUAAAUUAAAUCAAAUUAAGCAUUUGUUCCUUCAUCACACUAGACACGUUUCAAGUGCCCAAGAGCCCUGUGUUCAUACAAAUGAACUUAUUUACAAAACAGAAACAGACUCGCAGACUUAGAGAAUGGACUUAGCGUGGUGGGGAGGGAUAGUUAGGGAAUUUGGGAUUGACAUGCACAUGCUGCUAUAUUUAAAACGGAUAACCAGCAAGGACCUACCGUAUAGCACAGGGAAAUCUGCUCAAUGUUACGUGGCAGCCUGGAUGGGAGGGGCACCUGGGGGAGAAUGGAUACAUGUAUGUGUAUGGCUGAGUCACUUUGCUGUGCACCUGAAACUAUCACAACAUUGUUAAUCAGCUAUACUCCCCUAUAAAAUAAAAGGUUUAAAAAAAUUUUUUUUUAAAGUUAUAGACUUGGAAAAAAAAAGAGCCCUAUGUUUCCAACACAGAAUAUUUCCAUCUUUACAGAAUGUUCUCUUGGGCAGCUUUGAGCCUGGCUCACGGUCUGUUCACUGAAGUCCUUUAAUACAAAGUACAUCUAUAACAGUUGGAAUCUGAGGGUUAUCCCUUUGGAGGCUAGAGCUAGAAGGAUCUGGUGGAAACGGGGAAGUGACAAGUUGAAGGUGGAUCCUCUCUCUUGGUGAAGGUUUGCAACUGUGAUCAAUGUCUUGGUGAAGGGCUCUGGCUCCAGGGAGCCCAGGGAAGGCUGAGAACCCAGAGGAAGGAGCCGGGUGAUGCUGAGUGAGCCAGCAUGGCCUCCACUGGAGGGGGAGGCACGGGUGAGCCACUCUCUCUAAUAACUUUAUUGCUCAUGUUUGUGUCUCUAAAGAAUGGCUUGUGGAGAGCAUAUACGACUCAAGCGAGGACGAAGACUCUCUAGGCCACUCCAUCACCAUCACUGCCCUGGUACCUGCUGAAGCCUGUGUUAUAGAUUCUGAGGAUUAGGAUACAGAGACCAGCAAUCGGCACGUAAUUUAUUUCCUACUUAUGUCUCUCUUUUUAUUCUGUUUAUUUCCUAUCCGUAGACUCCUCUCUGUAGCUCUUCCCUGUUCCCUCUUUUUAUGAUUCUCAUCCUGAAGGGCCUGGUCUCAUCCAGGCACCUGAGGUCCUGGGAACUUCAAUGUCUAUAAAAUCUUUCUCCAGCCCUCCUUCCCCGCUCUCUCAGUGUCAUCCUGGCCUGUCUGCACCCUUGAGCCAUGUUGAGCAACCCUGAGUGGCCCAGGCAUACAGGUGGGCUGGGCGUCAGAAGAGCUGUGUACCCUCUUCUGCGGGGGUUCUUCUGCACUGGAUGUCUCUGGACAUGCACAGUUGUUUUCUGCCUUUCAGCUCUCAAGAUUACACAAUUUUUUAAAAAAGGAUUAUCCCAUCAGGAAUCUGAUUCCAGAAAUCCUCUCAUCCUGGAUUCAAGAGAAUGAAUCAAGAAAGUAAAAGGAGAUGAAAAAGAACAAGAAGAGGAAAUUGGCCACAGAGCAGAACGGGCACAAUGAACGCGUCCAUGGGACUCCCUCUGUGUUGAAUCGAUGCACCAAAGGCAGCAGACAUAUCCGCAUUUCAGUGGCUACUAGAAAAUUUAUAAUUAGAUAUGUGGGUUACAUUCUCCUGGACAUCCUGGUCUAGACUCAGAGACCCUCCAACUUCCGCCAGCUGGGAUGUGGCUCAGAUCCCCAGCAGCAGCUGAGAGGUUGAAUCAGUCAACGGGGGAAACUCGGUUCACCAUGUGGUAGAGGACUCCAACCAGGAUCUGAUUAAGGAAAAAGAGCAUCAUCUCUCCAGCCUGGGUGCUGAAACCUAGUCCUGCCUACAGCUCCUGGAGCAGAGGGCCCAAGGGUCCCUAAGUGUACACACUAGGUCUGGG